AUUGAACGCUGGCGGAAUGCUUUACACAUGCAAGUCGAACGGUAGAGGGGGCAACCCCUCGAGAGUGGCGAACGGGUGAGUAAUAUAUCGGAACGUGCCCAGUCGUGGGGGAUAACGUAGCGAAAGUUACGCUAAUACCGCAUACGAUCUAAGGAUGAAAGCGGGGGAUCGCAAGACCUCGCGUGAUUGGAGCGGCCGAUAUCAGAUUAGGUAGUUGGUGGGGUAAAGGCGCACCAAGCCAACGAUCUGUAGCUGGUCUGAGAGGACGACCAGCCACACUGGAACGGAGACACGGUCCAGACUCCUACGGGAGGCAGCAGUGGGGAAUUUUGGACAAUGGACGCAAGUCUGAUCCAGCCAUUCCGCGUGCAGGAUGAAGGCCCUCGGGUUGUAAACUGCUUUUGUACGGAACGAAAAGGUCUCUCUUAAUACGGGGGACUCAUGACGGUACCGUAAGAAUAAGCACCGGCUAACUACGUGCCAGCCGCCGCAGUAA
rnacentral:rRNA from 1 species